UACGGGGGGGGGUAAGCGUUGUUCGGAAUUACUGGGCGUAAAGGGCUCGUAGGCGGCCAACUAAGUCAGACGUGAAAUCCCUCAGCUUAACUGGGGAACUGCGUCUGAUACUGGAUGGCUUGGAUUCGGGAGAGGAAUGCGGAAUUCCAGGCGUAGCGGUGAAAUGCGUAGAUAUCGGGAGGAAUACCAGUGGCGAAGGCGGCCUUCUGGACGGAUACUGACGCUGAGGCGCGAAAGCCAGGGGAGCAAACGGG
rnacentral:rRNA from 1 species